UUAGAAGUUUUGGCCUUGGAAUUGUUGUAUUUGAUGAUUUUUGGAUGUUUGGAUCGAGUGGUAGCCAGAAACUUUGCACCCAAGAUUUGUUAUAGUGGAGUUGUUAGUUGUUGG